rnacentral:sRNA from 1 species
CCCGGGGCUACACCCCGGGCUAAUAUAUUUUGCCCUUUCAGGGCG